GCGGUCUGUCAAGUCGGAUGUGAAAUCCCCGGGCUCAACCUGGGAACUGCAUUCGAAACUGGCAGGCUUGAGUCUUGUAGAGGGGGGUAGAAUUCCAGGUGUAGCGGUGAAAUGCGUAGAGAUCUGGAGGAAUACCGGUGGCGAAGGCGGCCCCCUGGACAAAGACUGACGCUCAGGUGCGAAAGCGUGGGGAGCAAACAGGAUUAGAUACCCUGGUAGUCCACGCCGUAAACGAUGUCUACUUGGAGGUUGUGCCCUUGAGGCGUGGCUUCCGGAG
rnacentral:rRNA from 1 species